CCUUGGCUUGUGAGACAAGCCAAUUGGCUUUCCCAUCCCUCUCUUCACCCGUCUGCUUCCUCAAGAAGCUAAGUGGAUUUCUUAUUCUUCUCCUACACGCUGGGUUCAAGAGGCAAGAGAAAACAAAAUCCUCUCAUUUCCCUUUACCCCACUGACGGCUUCCAAGGCAAAAACUAGAAAAAACUCUUCUUCACUCCUCUUCACCGUCGAUUCCAAGACACACGAGGGAGAGAGCAACUCCUCAAGCUUUCAUCCACACGAAAAAAAACCCUUCGGUUCCUCCUAAGCACGCGACCUCUCUCAUUUCUUCAAGCCGAUCUCUCCCAUUUUUGUACACUUAAGCUUCCACAGAAAGUCUUCAAGGAAAGAUCCACCGUCCUAAAACUUUCGGAUUUUUCUUCCUUUUUUGUGGCUGUGCUUUCUGUGGCUUCAAGAGGGACCCAAUCAGGAGUCUAUUUCAACAAUCAAGGAACUUAAGUGUAAAGCAUCGAGGUAAGUAGUUAUGACCAUGCUCCUUACACACAAAGCUCUUUUAUGAAAAGGUCUCUCUCUCUCCUUCCAAAUGUUUCUCUUA